AUGUCGCCGAGGGACGCCGGGAACCGGGGGCCGGUGUCCCCCGCUCCGGCCGCCGUGCCACCGAGCGCGGGGGCCGCGGCCGGGCCGUGCCCCGGCGGGUCCCGGGCGGCAGCGGCGGGGCCGAGGCGCAGCCGGACCGGCCGUACCCGUGCGGCACCUGCGGCAAAUCCUUCCGGCACCGCCGCAGCCUCCUGGCGCACAAGAAGCUGCGGCGGGGGAACCGGGCCCGGCACGGCUGCGCCGAGUGCGGCCGCAGCUUCUGCCUGCGCGGGGACCUGCUGCGGCACCGCGACGCGCACCGGGCGCGGCCCCCGGGCCGCCGGUACCGGGCGGGCGCGGCGGGGCCGGGCGAGGAGCGGCCCUUCGAGUGCGGCCGCUGCGGGAGCAGCUUCAGCUGGAGGGAGAGCCUGGAGCUGCACCUGCGGGGGCACCGCGCCGCCGAGCGCGCCCACGCGUGCCCCGAGUGCGGCCGCGUGUUCCCGCACCGCGGGCACCUCCUGCUGCACCGCCGGGCGCACUCGGGCCCGCGGCGCUUCCCCUGCGCCCGCUGCGGCCGCGCCUUCGCCUCCCCCGCCACGCUCAGAGCCCACCGCAGGACGCGGCGGCACUGCCGGGCCCGCGGCCAGGGCCCCCGGGGGGACAGGGACCCUCCCGGGGACAGGGACCCCCGCGGGGACAAGGACAGGGACCCCCGUGCGGACAGGGACAGGGACCCUCCCGGGGACAGGGACAGAGACCCCCCCGGGGACAGGGACCCCUGUGGGGACAGGGACAGGGACCCCUGUGGGGACGGGGACAGGGACAGGGACCCCCGCGGGGACAGCGACAGGGACAGGGACCCCCGCGGGGACAGGGACCCCAGCGAGGACAGGGACCACGGUGCGGACAGGGACCCCCGCGGGGACAGCGACAGGGACCCCAGCAGGGACAGGGACCCCCGUAGGGACAAGGACAGCGAUAAGGACCUUUGCAGAGACAGGGACCUGCUCAGGGACAGGGACCCCUGCGGUGACAGGGACUCACUCAGGGACAGGGACAUGGAUAGGGACCCCUGGGGGGACAGGGAUAGGGACAGGGAUAGGGAUACACAUAGGGGUAGGGAUGGGGACGGGGAGCCCUGCUGGGACAGGGACCCCCUGA
rnacentral:lncRNA from 1 species